rnacentral:rRNA from 1 species
ACGGAAAGGCCCUUCGGGGUACUCGAGUGGCGAACGGGUGAGUAACACGUGGGUGAUCUGCCCUGCACUUUGGGAUAAGCCUGGGAAACUGGGUCUAAUACCGAAUAGGACCGCAUGCUUCAUGGUGUGUGGUGGAAAGCUUUUGCGGUGUGGGAUGGGCCCGCGGCCUAUCAGCUUGUUGGUGAGGUAAUGGCUUACCAAGGCGACGACGGGUAGCCGGCCUGAGAGGGUGACCGGCCACACUGGGACUGAGAUACGGCCCAGACUCCUACGGGAGGCAGCAGUGGGGAAUAUUGCACAAUGGGCGCAAGCCUGAUGCAGCGACGCCGCGUGAGGGAUGACGGCCUUCGGGUUGUAAACCUCUUUCGCCAGGGACGAAGCGCAAGUGACGGUACCUGGAGAAGAAGGACCGGCCAACUACGUGCCAGCAGCCGCGGUAAUACGUAGGGUCCGAGCGUUGUCCGGAAUUACUGGGCGUAAAGAGCUCGUAGGUGGUUUGUCGCGUUGUUCGUGAAAACUCACAGCUUAACUGUGGGCGUGCGGGCGAUACGGGCAGACUUGAGUACUGCAGGGGAGACUGGAAUUCCUGGUGUAGCGGUGGAAUGCGCAGAUAUCAGGAGGAACACCGGUGGCGAAGGCGGGUCUCUGGGCAGUAACUGACGCUGAGGAGCGAAAGCGUGGGGAGCGAACAGGAUUAGAUACCCUGGUAGUCCACGCCGUAAACGGUGGGUACUAGGUGUGGGUUUCCUUCCUUGGGAUCCGUGCCGUAGCUAACGCAUUAAGUACCCCGCCUGGGGAGUACGGCCGCAAGGCUAAAACUCAAAGAAAUUGACGGGGGCCCGCACAAGCGGCGGAGCAUGUGGAUUAAUUCGAUGCAACGCGAAGAACCUUACCUGGGUUUGACAUGCAC